GUUAAGUGGAAAAGGAUGUGGGAUUUCGAAGACAACUAGGAUGUUGGCUUAGAAGCAGCCAUCCAUUAAAAGAGUGCGUAAUAGCUCACUAGUCGAGAGGUCCUGCGCCGAAAAUGUCCGGGGCUGAAACACACUACCGAAGCUUAGGAAUUGAUGAACGUCAAUUGGUAGAGGAGCAUUCUUAACGGGGCGAAGCUGUACCGGAAGGAGCAGUGGACUGUUAAGAAGAGAGAAUGCCGGAAUGAGUAGCGAGAGGAAGGUGAGAAUCCUUCCGGCCGAAUAUCUAAGGUUUCCAGAGUAAAGCUGAUCUGCUCUGGGUAAGUCGGGGCCUAAGGCGAGGUCGAAAGACGUAGUCGAUGGAUAACAGGUAAAGAUUCCUGUACUAUAUCAUAACAGAACUGUGGGGACGCAGACAGAGAGCAUAAGCCGGGAAUGGAAAGACCGGUACAAGCGAGGUAGGAGUGCAUCAGGCAAAUCCGGUGCACAAUCUGAAGACGUGAUGUGGGGCGUAAAGCCGGAAGUAUGUGAGCUGGCUGCCAAGAAAAGCCGCUAUUGUUUAUGAUAUACCCGUACCGUAAACCGACACAGGUGGAUGAGGAGAGAAUCCUAAGGCCGACGGGAGAAGCAUUGUUAAGGAACUCGGCAAAAUGACUCCGUAACUUCGGGAGAAGGAGUGCCAUGUAAAAGUGGCCGCAGAGAAUUGGCCCAAGCAACUGUUUAGCAAAAACACAGGUCUAUGCAAAACCGAAAGGUGAGGUAUAUGGGCUGACGCCUGCCCGGUGCUGGAAGGUUAAGGGGAGAGGUUAGCCGUAAGGCGAAGCUUUGAACUUAAGCCCCAGUAAACGGCGGCCGUAACUAUAACGGUCCUAAGGUAGCGAAAUUCCUUGUCGGGUAAGUUCCGACCCGCACGAAAGGCGUAAUGAUUUGGGCACUGUCUCAACAAUGCACCCGGUGAAAUUGAAAUACCAGUGAAGAUGCUGGUUACCUGCGCCAGGACGGAAAGACCCCAUGGAGCUUUACUCCAGCUUGAUACUGGGAUUCGAUAUUGCAUGUACAGGAUAGGUGGGAGACUAAGAAGCGGUGACGCCAGUUGCCGCAGAGUCGCUGUUGGGAUACCACCCUUGCAGUAUUGGAUUUCUAACCAGCAGCCGUGAACCGGUUGGGGGACAAUGUCAGGUGGGGAGUUUGACUGGGGCGGUCGCCUCCGAAAGGGUAUCGGAGGCGCUCAAAGGUUCCCUCAGAAUGGUUGGAAACCAUUCGAAGAGUGCAAAGGCAGAAGGGAGCUUGACUGCGACACCGACGGGUGGAGCAGGUACGAAAGUAGGACUUAGUGAUCCGGUGGUAUAAAGUGGGAUUGCCAUCGCUCAACGGAUAAAAGCUACCCUGGGGAUAACAGGCUUAUCACUCCCAAGAGUUCACAUCGACGGAGUGGUUUGGCACCUCGAUGUCGGCUCAUCGCAUCCUGGGGCUGAAGUAGGUCCCAAGGGUUGGGCUGUUCGCCCAUUAAAGCGGUACGCGAGCUGGGUUCAGAACGUCGUGAGACAGUUCGGUCCCUAUCCGGCG
rnacentral:rRNA from 1 species